GACAGAGGGUGCAAACGUUGUUCGGAAUUACUGGGCGUAAAGCGCGUGUAGGCGGCGCGGCAAGUCGGGUGUGAAAGCCCUGGGCUCAACCCAGGAAGUGCACUCGAUACUGCCGAGCUCGAGUCCUGGAGAGGAUGGUGGAACUCUCGGUGUAGAGGUGAAAUUCGUAGAUAUCGAGAAGAACACCGGUGGCGAAGGCGGCCAUCUGGACAGUGACUGACGCUGAGACGCGAAAGCGUGGGGAGCAAACAGG
rnacentral:rRNA from 1 species